rnacentral:lncRNA from 1 species
UGCUUGCUAUGGCGAUAGUGGUGGACCUUUAGUUUGCAGAAAUGAAAUAGGACGAUGGGAACAGUUUGGUAUUACGAGUUAUGGAGCUUCUUAUUGUAAAAGAUUUGUCCCAGCCAUUUACUUCAAUGUGACAACACAGAGAGAAUGGAUUG